rnacentral:ncRNA from 1 species
GUAAUCCCUGGCUUUAUUUUUUUUAUUUACGAUAAAGCAUUCAGUCCUGGAAAUUUGGAAAGAUAAAGGGGACAAAGACAAGUCAUCAUGGCCUUGAUAUUGUGGGCUAUAGACGUGCCACAUAUUCCUAAACAAAGAGAUGCAAAAAUGUGAAUUUAAGCUAAUCUCAAAAAAUAGGAUAUAAAUUUUAAGGAUUGUAGUCUGAAAUUCGACUAUAUGAAUAAGUAAUUACUAGUAAUCGUGAAUCACCAUGUCACGGUGAAUAGACCUUGGAUUGGUACUAACCACUCGUCACAUGCUGAAAGGGGCAUGCGCAAUAAGUUUGCUUUCUUAGUAACAAGUAAAAAAAACAAAUAGGUUUUAUAUAUUCUUUUAUUGGGAAUCUUCGUAUGCGUGGCUCUAAUUAGUGUUAAGUCGAAAUACGGUUCGGGUAGUGGAAGUUGCCCGGGAUUAAUUAAUAUU